rnacentral:lncRNA from 1 species
GGGCCUUUCAGGUCCAGCUUGGGGCCCUUGACAUCUAUCUGGGGGCCCUUGAGAUCUACUUUGGGCAUCUUGAAACUGGGCAUCUGCAGCUUGGGCAGGUGCCCUUUGAGGCCGACUUCCUCGGGCACAGGGCCCUCCAGGAGUUUCACGUCCACCUGGCCAGCCUGGACCUUCACGUCGGCGGAAAGGGGCUGAAUGCUGAGGUCAGUGGUCUUCAGGUCCCCCUGCAUGGAGGGGAGACUCACGUCGGCCUCCACCUUGGGUGCAGGCACAUCCACCGAGGCCUCGAUGGACCUCCCUGGG